rfam:Pedobacter nyackensis strain DSM 19625 genome assembly, contig: Ga0070598_106
CAGGCGUUUGCUGAAAAGCCUUAAAGAGAGUAGGCA